rnacentral:rRNA from 1 species
AUUGAACGCUGGCGGCAUGCUUUACACAUGCAAGUCGAACGGCAGCACGGGCUUCGGCCUGGUGGCGAGUGGCGAACGGGUGAGUAAUACAUCGGAACGUACCCAGUAGCGGGGGAUAGCCCGGCGAAAGCCGGAUUAAUACCGCAUAUGCCCUGAGGGGGAACGCCGGGGACCGAAAGGCACUGCGCUAUUGGAGCGGCCGAUGGCUGAUUAGCUAGUUGGUGGGGUAAAGGCCUACCAAGGCGACGAUCAGUAGCUGGUCUGAGAGGACGACCAGCCACACUGGGACUGAGACACGGCCCAGACUCCUACGGGAGGCAGCAGUGGGGAAUUUUGGACAAUGGGCGAAAGCCUGAUCCAGCAAUGCCGCGUGUGCGAAGAAGGCCUUCGGGUUGUAAAGCACUUUUGUUUGGAAAGAAAAGGUUUGGGUUAAUACCCUGGACUGAUGACGGUACCAAUCGAAUAAGCACCGGCUAACUACGUGCCAGCAGCCGCGGUAA